GGGAUUCCAUCUCUGUUACUAGCAAACUUCUCCCCUUAACAAAUUAACCAUUAACAUUUACUUAAAAAAAAAAUUAUUCACAAAGUAAGCACCAAAAUUUUAGAAUGCUAAAAACUACAAAUCAAUUGAUUUGCUCACUUAAAGAUUAGGUACUUGGUUCCACACAGAAGACAUCAUCAACCGAUCAUUUAGCAAUUCGUGUGAUCCUACAAUACAAAUUAAGGUCAUCAAAUAGAUUACUAUAUAAUUCAAAUGUUAGUUGCUUCAAAAAAAAAUCAAAUGUAAGUUUUUUUCUUCCUAUUUUCCCUCUUCCACGUGAGCCAAUUUUUUAAUAAAAAAUGAUUUGUUGUGGAUUCCUAUUCUUAGGAAAAAAAAGCUUGCUGAGUUGGUCCACUAUUUUUCCCACUUAUCCCAUAAUCUGAUGUACGUUUCUAUAUCAACUGAAUAGUGCUAAAGAUCUGCCCUCAAAGUGUUACACGGAUCCAGACUCUGUGAUGGACAAGACUCUAUGAAAGGGAAACGUAUUCACUCUGUUUCAAGGUCACUGAACCUACUCUUCUCUCUAUAGAAAACUACACCAUCGAGUUUGAGUGAGUUAAGGUUUAGAAUAGUGAAACAAAUCGGUUGUAGCAGCAAUAGUUUAAAUGUGUUUUUUAUGCUGUUUAACAUGUUUAAAUAGAUUAGAAAUCAUUUACAUUUUGGUUAACCAUGGUUGGAGUUAGUGUUCUUAAUUUUGCUUCUGCAAACUUCUCAAAUUUUAAGUGUGACAUUCCCGAGUUAAACGGUGACAAUUAUAAGAUCUGGAAGGAAAGAAUUCUCCUUCCUAAUGUAACGGAGAAUUCUUUCCUUCCAGAUCUUAUAAUUGUUCGUUUAACUCGGGAAUGUCACACUUGCGGAAGCAAAUUAAGAACACUAACCUCUAGGCAUUGUUAACCAAAAUGUAAACGAUUUCUAAUCGAUUUAAACAUAUUAAACAACAUAAACAACACAUUUAAACUAUCACUGUUACAACUGAUUUGUUUCACUAUUCUAAACCUUAACUAACUCAAACUCGAUUGUGUAAUUUUCUAUAGAGAGAAGAGUAGGUUCAGUGACCAUGAAACAGAGUGAAUACGUUUCCUUUUUAUAGAGUCUUACCCAUCACAAAGUAUGGAAACGUGUAACACUUUGAGGGCCGAUCUUUAGCAUUAUUUAGUUACUACAAGGACGUGUAUUAGAUUAUGGGAUAAGUGCGAAAAGGAGUGGACCAACUCAACAAAUUUUUCCCCUAUGAAUAGCAAUCCACAUCAAUUCAUUUUUGACUCAAAUAUUGGCUCAAUUUUACAUUACCUAUGCUAAACUUUUAUAAAGAAAGAUUAAAUACCAAACACAAAAAGUUCAAUACAUUAGCCCAUUCCGUAGAUAAUUUUUGUAGCACUGAAUAUGAAUUUUUAUCAUUCCAUGGAGAUAGAAGACAAGGACACAGGAAAGAAUGAUUCAAUUUGAAAUUAUGAUGUUAAACAUCAAUACAAUGAUGAUGACAUACAAACACCAUUUGACGUUGUUGUAUGGGUAGAGAUAGAACUCCCAACUUUCUUAUCACACACACAAAGUCAACUUUAUAUCCCUAAUUCUAGAAAUAGUUUUGUAGAUAGACACCAAUAAUCUCACAGUAACAAUUUUAUAUCAAGUGAAAUUUACUCGUAAAACAAAAAAACAAAACAUAUUUGAUGCUUAUAAAGUAGCAUAUAUAUAUUAUUAUUGAUUGAUUACAAGAUAUGCAGUGAGAAAUAUGGUACUUUAUAAACAUCAAAUAUGUUUUGUUUUACUCAUAAAAUCUUUGAAAGUGUGGUUGAGCCUAACAAAAUUUUAUAAAAUUGACUUAUGCGAUGAUGAUUGUCCCCACUUAUAAAUAUAUUGGUCAGAUCAUCUCUUGUCUGAUGUGCUACUUUUUAACACACCUCCUAAGACCUAGGAAUGGACCUCUUAAACGUGGAUAUAAAUGGUGGAUGGCUUAAAAGCAAAAACAUGAUAGCAUGUGGCCCAAUGAAUCUUGGAGGAGGCAUUGAUGCAAUCUUAGGUAAUUGAAGAUUAUCGUAUAAGAAGGUCAUCAGUCCCAUCUCCACAACAACUAAAAUCUCUAACUAAACUUUAUUGCCCUUUUGAAGAGUGUCCUUACAAAGAUCAGGCCUUCUCUCAAGCCUGUUUUUUAAAGGUUGAGCAAUUCCUCUUUCUUGUUCUCAAUCAUAUUGUUCGAGUAUUUCUUAGUCGAUGCUACGACUUACUCAACAAACUCCCCAAUUGACAACGAAUCAAUAAGAACAAACUCCCAAACAAUUUCCCUAAUAAUCUUCUCUGGUCUUGUAACAUCCCUCAUAUUUCCACAAUCUAAACCUUUAAAAACAAUCAUAUUCCAGAAUUCCAUCCCCUUGAAUCACCCGAAAGAACUUCAAAUCUAGGUCUAGUAAGCAAUUGUGAAGGAAAAAAAAGAGAAUGAUUUUCUAAACUAGUAGUUUUAUACCGACUAUUGUUAUCUUGUUUCAUGAAUGAACCAAGACUAGUUCCAGUUCCCACAAUGAUUUGACAAAGCAACAACACCAUCAACUAUUGGUUUAAACCUUAUAUGAACAGAAUCAUUAGUAUCCUCCCCACAAUUCCAAAUUUGAUCAUCUUUAUCAAAUAAUGGCGGUAGAACGAACUAGUCUUAGUUCAUUCAUGCAACAAGGUAAUUAGUCACUAUAAAACUACUAGUUCAGAAAAUCACUCUUUUUUUCCUUCUGAAUUGCCUGAUGAACCUAGAUUUGAAGCUCAUUCAGCUAAUUUAGAGGGUAGGAAUUAUGAGAAUAUGAGAGUUUUAGAAGGUUUAGAUGGUGGAAAUACAGGAAUGUUUCAAAACCAGAGAAGAUUAGCGAAAUUAGUUUGGAGUUUGUUUCUAUUGUUUCAUUGAUAAUUCAGGAGAUUGUUAAGGAAGUUGUAGCAUCAAUUAAGAAAUACUUGAAGAAUAUGAUUGAGAACAAGAAAGAAGAAUUGGUCAACCUUCAAAACAGGCUUAAGAGAAGGUCUGAUCUUUCUAAGGAGACUCUUUACAAGGGUAAUAAAGUUCAGUUAGAGAAUUUAGUUGCAGUGAAUAUGAAACUGUCGAGCUUCUUAUACGGUAAUCUUCAAUUAUCUAAGAAUGUAUCAGAGCCUCCUCCAAGAUGCAUUGAGCCACAUGUUAUCAGGUUUCCGUUAUCGAGCCACCAUAUUCACACUUCAGAUGUCCAGACCAAGUUGUAAGGGGUGUGUUAAAGUGUUCCACAUCAGAUAAUCAGAUAAGAGUUGAUGUGUUUAUAAGUGGGGGCAAUCCUCACUCCACAAGUCAGUUUUGUAAGGUUAUGUUAAACUUAAUUACAAUUUCAAAGAUUUUAUGAGUAAUCUCUUAUAUAACAUUUCUUAAAAUAAAUAAAUAAAUCUUAUAUAGAUAUAGACAUGCCCUUCCUUACAUAUUUUGUAAUCAAUAAUAUUAUAGGUUGUUUUAGAGAAAUAUAUUUGUACAACCAUUUUGCUACAAUUUUUUGAUAACUUUCUCUCUCAUACUCAGAUGAUGUUAUUAUCCUCUCUUUUCCUUGUUCUCUCUCUUUAUUGUGUUUGACCAAUCAAAAAAGAAUAAAACAAAGUUGUCACCAAAGUUGUCAUUAAAUGGAUGUACAAAUAUCAUUUCUCUAUUUGAUAAGCAUGCAUCAAUAAGUUUUGUGUUUGUUCUUCUAGUAAAUUUCAUAUGAUGUCAAAGUGAUGUUCUGAGACUAUUCAUCUAUGUGUAAAACUACUUUUAGAAUCAAAAUUAUUGACUAGAGAUAUAAAAUUGACUUUGUCAGAACGGAAGUUGGGAGUUAUAUCCCUAUCCAUACCACAACUCAAAUGGUGUUUGUGUCAUCAUCAUUGUAUCAAUGUUAGCAUCUUAAUUUCAAAUUGAAUCUUUCUUUUCUCUGUGUCCUUGUCUUCUAUCUCAUGGAAAUCUCACAUUCAUCACAACAAAAAUGAUCUAGUGAAUGGACUUAUGUAUUGAACUUUAUUAUAUCUAAAAUAACAACCAAGUAGACCGUGUAAUCAACAUAUCUUUCCGUUCAAAGAAACUAUUAGUACAUUUUCUUUUGUCAAAACCGCACCUUAAGUUUUGCAACUGUAGCAGUUUUGGCCCCUUAAGGCCAAUUUUUGGUAAAAAAAAACAAAAAAAAAAAAAUGUGGCACCUCACUUAAGGUGCCAUGUCAGCGUAGACUGAGUCAAAAUUGACCUUGGGGGACAAAACUAUCAACUUAGAAGCGGUUUUGUAGUUUUUUUUUUAUGAGGCCAAAAUCACAACUUUAGGAAAGUUAGGCGGCUAAAACUGUUAUUAAACCUAAAAAAAAUGCUAAACUAGUAUAUUUUAUUUCAUAUAUUUUUUUAAUCAAAUGUACAUCCUACAUAUAUUAUGCUCAAUGUUUAUUUAUUGAGCUACGCUAUUCGUAGAGAAUAAACAAAUCAUCAACCUUUAAUGAAAGGGUCUCCUACAAUUUCAAUCUCUAACUAAAAGUUGUUUAUAACAGGCCUCACUUUUAUGAUUUGUAACAGAUAUUUUUUCUUUUAAUUUUUAUAGUCAGAACAAAAUAUAAAACAAUUUAAUAGAACAAAUAGAUACCUGAAUUCGGGCGCCUCCUUCUAUAGAAGUGGUUGCAAAGAAACAUCAUCAUAUUUCCAAAUUGCUAUUUUAUCACAAUCUGACUAUCUUUCCUUUUCCCUAAAAUCAAUCUUUCACUAAUUUUUGCAUUAACACAACCAUUAAGGUUCUACUCUUGAUGAUUGUAUUGCCCCUGCUAGGCUAAGAUUCGUAUGGGGAGCAUCCAAUUUUAAACCCAUACACCCGUGCAUCAAAACAAAAUCUAAAAACCUACGGGAAACGCCACCUAACAAUCAAAAGCAAACUUAACACCAAAAUCAAAGACAAACCUCCUCACAACAACAUAAACAAAAGUUGUACCAAAUCCCUCAAACAUCAUCACAAGCCGUCACAAAAACAACUUCCACCAUUACAUUCCGCUGCUCGCACACAACCCCCAAACCCCAAACAGUAACA
rnacentral:lncRNA from 1 species